AUUGAACGCUGGCGGCAGGCUUAACACAUGCAAGUCGAACGAGCGGCGGACGGGUGAGUAAUGUAUGGGGAUCUGCCUGAUGGCGGGGGAUAACUACUGGAAACGGUAGCUAAUACCGCAUACCAUCAGAUGAACCCAUAUGGGAUUAGCUUGUAGGUGAGGUAACGGCUCACCUAGGCGACGAUCCCUAGCUGGUCUGAGCGGAUGACCAGCCAAACUGGAACUGAGACACGGCCCAGACUCCUACGGGAGGAAGCAGGGGGGAAUAUUGCACAAUGGGCGCAAGCCUGAUGCAGCCAUGCCGCGUGUGUGAAGAGGGCCUUAGGGUUGUAAAGUACUUUCAGCGGGGAGGCUUUACCCGCAGAAGAAGCGCCGGCUAACUCCGUGCCAGCAGCCGCGGUAAUAC
rnacentral:rRNA from 1 species